AGAGUUUGAUCCUGGCUCAGGAUGAACGCUAGCGGCAGGCCUAACACAUGCAAGUCGAGGGAGAAGCCCUUCGGGGCAGAAACCGGCGCACGGGUGCGUAACGCGUAUGCAACCUACCUUUCACAGGGGGAUAGCCCGAAGAAAUUUGGAUUAAUACCCCAUAAUAUUAUUGGAUGGCAUCAUUUGAUAAUUAAAAUUACGAUGGUGAAAGAUGGGCAUGCGUCCUAUUAGCUAGUUGGAGUGGUAACGGCACCCCAAGGCUACGAUAGGUAGGGGUCCUGAGAGGGAGAUCCCCCACACUGGUACUGAGACAGGGACCAGACUCCUACGGGAGGCAGCAGUGAGGAAUAUUGGUCAAUGGUCGGAAGACUGAACCAGCCAUGCCGCGUGCAGGAAGAAUGCCUUAUGGGUUGUAAACUGCUUUUAUAUGGGAAGAAUAAGGAGUACGUGUACUUUGAUGACGGUACCAUAUGAAUAAGCAUCGGCUAACUCCGUGCCAGCAGCCGCGGUAAUACGGAGGAUGCGAGCGUUAUUCGGAAUCAUUGGGUUUAAAGGGUCUGUAGGCGGGCUAUUAAGUCAGGGGUGAAAGGUUUCAGCUUAACUGAGAAAUUGCCUUUGAUACUGGUAGUCUUGAAUAUCUGUGAAGUUCUUGGAAUGUGUAGUGUAGCGGUGAAAUGCUUAGAUAUUACACAGAACACCGAUUGCGAAGGCAGGGGACUAACAGACAAUUGACGCUGAGAGACGAAAGCGUGGGGAGCGAACAGGAUUAGAUACCCUGGUAGUCCACGCU
rnacentral:rRNA from 1 species